GUUUGAUCCUGGCUCAGGACGAACGCUGGCGGCGUGCUUAACACAUGCAAGUCGAACGCUGAAGCCUGCAGCUUGCUGUGGGUGGAUGAGUGGCGAACGGGUGAGUAACACGUGAGUAACCUGCCCCUGACUCUGGGAUAAGCCCGGGAAACUGGGUCUAAUACCGGAUAUGACCAUUCUCCGCAUGGAGUGGUGGUGGAAAGUUUUUCGGUUGGGGAUGGGCUCGCGGCCUAUCAGCUUGUUGGUGGGGUGAUGGCCUACCAAGGCGACGACGGGUAGCCGGCCUGAGAGGGCGACCGGCCACACUGGGACUGAGACACGGCCCAGACUCCUACGGGAGGCAGCAGUGGGGAAUAUUGCACAAUGGGGGAAACCCUGAUGCAGSGACGCCGCGUGGGGGAUGACGGCCUUCGGGUUGUAAACCUCUUUCAGUAGGGAAGAAGCC
rnacentral:rRNA from 1 species